AGAGUUUGAUCCUGGCUCAGAACGAACGCUGGCGGCAGGCUUAACACAUGCAAGUCGAGCGCCCCGCGAGGGGAGCGGCAGACGGGUGAGUAACGCGUGGGGAUAUGCCCAAAGGUGCGGAAUAACUCAGGGAAACUUGAGCUAAUACCGCAUGUGCCCGAGAGGGGAAAGAUUUAUCGCCUUUGGAUUAACCCGCGUUCAGAUUAGCUAGUUGGUGAGGUAAUGGCUCACCAAGGCGACGAUCUGUAGCUGGUCUGAGAGGAUGACCAGCCACACUGGGACUGAGACACGGCCCAGACUCCUACGGGAGGCAGCAGUGGGGAAUAUUGGACAAUGGGCGCAAGCCUGAUCCAGCCAUGCCGCGUGAGUGAUGACGGCCUUAGGGUUGUAAAGCUCUUUCGACGGGGACGAUAAUGACGGUACCCGUAGAAGAAGCCCCGGCUA
rnacentral:rRNA from 1 species